UCGGGAUUGAAUUUGUUGUUAAUUCGUUUCACAUACUAUUUUAAUUUAGUCAAUUUAUUAAAUUAGAAAUUAAUUGAAAAUCAAUUGACCAUAAUUACAAUGCAAUUGAUCAACUGAGGCUAAAAUUUAAACACUAUUGUCUAAAUUCUCAUUUUUUGGGGCUAUUUAAUAAAGGCCCUAAAUCCCCAAUUCCCAACCAUUCCAACAAAUUUCAACCAGCCCUCUUCCCAAAUCAGGCCCAACAGCCUUCUCCAGCCCAAAAUACCUGACCCAGUCUCCCGAUCAGUGUAUCACCGUCGUAGCUAAUGGUACAAUAACAACAGAAGCAAACAAUAUCAGCAACCAUCUGCCCCAUCAACCCAGCUCAGCAACAGCGGCCCAACAUCAGCAAAACCGACCCGGCACAUCCCUUUCUCCUCUUUAAACGACAGAACAGGCAACAUCAACAGCGUACCACAACAGCAAAAACGCUAAGGGUGUUCAACCCCAACCACCAACCUUAGCCGUUACCCCUCCAUUUACCGAUUUACCCUCAUGAUUCUUCCAUUCAUGGCCAAAGUUCAGAAAGCUUUCACCCUUUUCAGCCCAUGACUCACCAACUUGGGAAACCAUUAAUUCAACUUUUGACCAACCCAACCAACAGCUCGUUUUGGUUUCUUUGUCCUCCUUUUCACUUGUCCGUUCUGAUUUCACUACCAAAUUGAUGCAAAGUCCAGCUUUGUGUAUUGUCAGAUGGAAGAUCUCAAAAAUCUCUUCGUUUUCUUUACAAAAGAUUUCAAAUCCGAAAAUUGGAAACCAUAGCAAUCCCCCCCCCCCCCAACCCAAUUUUUCCCUAUAAAUAGAGGCUAAGGAGAAGGGGAGGAUUUUUGGGGAAAAAUUGGGGGUUCUGAAGGUGCUUGCCUUGAACCUCACGAAACCAAAAUUCUCAAAGAACCAUCGAAAGAUCAAAAUUCGACGUUCUCGUUCAAAUUCCAUUGGUCAGAAUCAACUCGAGGUGGUGGAAUCUCAUUCGAUUAAAAGCUCGUCGUCCCGGUGUCGCUGCUCGAAAACAGGUGAACGUUCGUCUCUGUUACACUCCUUUUCUUCAUAUUUGGGUGUCGUAAAUAUAGAAUAAUUUGGGUGUGGGCUGGCCUAGUCGUAUUAUUGUGUAGUAAUGAUAAUCGAGUCAUCGGAACUGAGAAUUGGUUUGAUUAUGCGUGAGUCAUUCAAAUCUUUAAACUUCGACAGUAUGCUAGUACGUGGAUUGUUUUGAAUUUAGUGAAGGGAGUGUCGUCCGCCAUUAUGUCAUGCUUGUGAAAAGCUAAGAAUGCUAUUUUUUUCUUGUACGUAUGUUGUUUGUCGACUUUGUAUGUAUACUGUUUGUCUGACUUUGGGCGAAACACGGAAAAGAUAUAAGUUGCGUGGUAGAUGUGCAAAGUCGAAAGUUGUAAGCGUUGAUGGGCUUCUAUAAUUAUUUCCAUGAUCUCUCUUAAAUUCGUCCCAAGUCAGAUUUUAAGUGUCAACAUGUUAGACUAGCUGGACUGCUUGAAAUUAAAAGCAACUAGUGUUCUUAAUGGAGUUUAUAAGAAUAUUCUCCGAGGAUGGAACCUCCAAUGAAAUUACCAAAGUGCUGUGAGUAGAAAAUUUGGAUAUCCUGGGAUGGUACUGCCUACAUAGUUUGCUUCAUUUUACCAUGGAUAUGUUUGUCGGACAACUUAAGGUUAUUAGCACUAAUUAAAAAAAAAUGAAUGAAACCAAAGUUUCAUCACGUCACUGGUUGUUUGUGAUACUUUAAAUUAAGAUAUCAUGCCAUGUUUUACUUGUUAUAACUUGUGGGGGAUGAUUUAACUUUGUAGUAAUAACUAUAGAAAUAUUACUUGGUUCAUUUGAGUACGACUAUCAAUUUAUUCCUAUUUAAACAUAUGGUAAUCUCUUUUUUCUUUUUUUUCUUUUAUGCAUGUGUAAUUAAAUUGGAGCCCAAAUGGGCUUCGCAUCCCUUGCAUUUCGUCAAUGGGUCGAGGGGGACCGAAUAGUCACGUCAAAACUUCAAGUUCAAGUCCUAAGAGGACUAUUUUGCACUGGUAUACAUUGAUAUACGUAUUAUGGAGGCUGGUAAUCGAGUGAUACACGUCAAGAAUGAGAAAGGAAAGCUGAUGGUACAGACGGAGGACUGAAGUUGCGUAUAUAUGACCGAAAAUGGUCAUAUAUACACUGAAUAUACCCAAAAACGUUGGGAAAAAGGGGCUGGUAUACUUGUGGUAUACAAUGCAGAAAAAUGGACUUAAAAGUCCAUAAAAUGCAACCCCAAAGGCUGGGCAGCCCACUUAUGGGCCCAACUUCAACUUUAAUCUUUCUUUCUUAUAAAUUGCAACUUAUAUUAAUUAAUUAACCUAGUAUUUCCCCAUGCGUGUUGCUAUCUUAUUUAUCUCAAUUUUUCUACUUGAUUCACAAUUAUCCCACCUAAUUCAAUUUAUUCAAAAAAUGAAAUAAUUUGGUUUUGUUGACCUAUUCUUAAGCAAGUCUCUGGAAAAAAAAAAUAUAAUAAUAAUAAUGAUAAAAUGAAUACUUUAGUCCAAACGAUAUUUAUUUAUUCAAAUGACCAAAUAGUCUACUUGGGUAAAAAAUGAUAAUAAUAAUAAUUUCUUCAAACUUGAAAAGUUAAUUUUUCUUGUAAAUUCUAACUUUCUACAACUGAUAAAAUGUUUAAUAAGAUACUUUCUUAAUAUUUUUCAAAAGAGUUAGCCGUUGCAAAAUGAUCAUUUUUAUGACAAUAAUAAUAAUAAAUAAUUUUAUAAUUUUCAUUUUCCAUGAAAAUCUGACUUAUUUCUUCUUUAAAUUCAAAAUGUGCAAUUCGGUUCAGAUAGGCUUCUUUUUAACUUAAGUAAAUAUUUCAUAUUCCUUAAAAAUAAUUACGAAUUAAUUAAAAUGUUAUUUUUAAGAUGGAAAUUUUGUAAUUUUUCUCAAAAAAAAAAAAAAAAGAAGAGCAAUCAUCAUUUCGUCAUUUUUAGGUAGAGUAUAUUGUAGCUUUUUUCCUAAUUCAAGUAGACUUUCUCGUUUGAAUAGAUAACAAUGUCAUCUUUUAGAUGUGUAGAUAAAUAAUUUCAUUAUUUAAAAGCAACCCUUUUUGCAAAGUUAGCCACCUUUUGUAAGUUAGUUAAAAACUCUUUUGGUGAACCGUUUUAAGGCGGACGCUCCUAAGUUCCUUAAAAAUCUUCUUAGGGCGUUAAUUGAACCCUUACUCAGUUUCUCGUAUCUCAAAAUUUUAUUUCUGUUUUUGAAUCUUUGAAAUCUUUUUAAGUUUUCUUGAUAUUUUCUAUAAAAAUCAAGUGACGACUCUGUAAAAUCUUUCAAAAUUGUUUCGACAUUCUCUUGAAUCUUUCGAAAUUGUUUGAAGAGGUCAACUAUUUUCUUUAACAUAAAAUUCGCAAAGGGAUAAAACAGAAAUGGCGACUCUGUUGGGGAUAUUUAACUAGGUUCUAACCAAAUGUUUGAUUUCGUCUUUUGACUAACUGUUUAAAUUGCCUAUGUGUUUAUAUGUUUUGAAUCUAUGAAGUUUAAUUAUCGCAUCUCAUCGCAUAUUCCUGCAUCUAUUAAUAAACUGUUUUAGGGCUUCGUGGAUGUCCCGCCCCUGUUGUUCAAAUCUAAAUAACGUGUUAGAAAUACGACGGUUUAUUAGCACGUGAGUCGCCUGAUGGCUGUUUGUAUAUCCAAAUCCAAGUCAUCUACUUGGGAGCCUGGUUCUAACCCACUCUAGACACCUAGGAUAGAGCGAAAUCAAAACCCUAUUUUAGGCAUGAGCCUAGGACGACCCAAUACCCGAGCAGGGUAUUGGGCCCAUUAGAAAACCUGUCCUACGUCUAUUGACCCCGAGUCAAUUACGGAUGAAUCAUACUUAUGUGUUGAACAAAAUAUAUGUUUGUUUAAUCCAAUCCAUUAUCCUUUAGGGUCGGGGGAAGGCUCAUCUUUAUCUACUUUCGUGUAGGAUAUGGCUCAACUGCAUUCACACAAAAGGUUCAAGAUAGUUACCGGACCCGGUAACUUCCUGAAACUAUGGUGGAAACACAUGAACGGAGAAGAAAGAAAGAUUGUUAGAACACAUAUCGGGCAUUUGCCUUCGUUGAUCGAGAUGGACGUUUGGCCCAAAAUAAUCCAUAUGCUGACGACCUUUUGGGAUGAUCAGAAUAUGGUGUUUCACUUCGAGGAUGCUGAAUUGACUCCCACUAUAAAAAGGUGUUGAUUUGUUACGAGAGUACUGAAAUGUGUUUCAAAAGAAAAGAGACAUCCGAUAAGUACAUUUUAUUCCCGAUUGUGUGGGACCAUCAAAAGAUCAAGAAAGCCAUUUUAAUUGGUGAUGACACCUAGUUAGGGGAACGUGAUGGGGCAAAUAUCCCUUUUCAUGAGUUGUAUCGCCGGUUCGGAAGGUUUAAUGCUUUUCAUUAGUUCAGAUAUAAAUUUGAGUCGGAAGCAAAAUAGAAGGAGACAAGAGCAUUUGCAUUUGCGGUAGGCCUACUUGAAACUAUGGUGUUUCCACAAGGGGAAAAUGGGGCAAUUUAUCUAAGGGUUGUCACGGUGACCCAUGCUCUCUUGUAUGGAAUGAAGUACGGUUCUAAAAAGGUAUUCCAUAACGUAGCUCCCAUGAUUGUAGCCGACAUAUAUCGAGCUUUAGAAAGAUGUCAAGCCGAGAAUCAUUUCUUUCAAGGUUGCAACCUUAUCUUGCAAUGGUGGAUGAUGAUGCAUUUGGUGAAAAAUCCUAGAACAGUACAGCCUGAUCAUAAAACAAGGUAUGAUCUUUUAUCAUCACAUGACAUGUAGUUGUUCCUGCACAAGUUCAAAAGGGAAGCAUCUCUGGGAUUUUGGUUUAAAACUUUUGGAGAGUUAGGGAUGACGAUGUCCAAUGGUCCGUCAAAUAUCUUCGUUCAGGGAGAUACACCAUUCGGGAGGGUGAGUGACCUUUUCUAGUGCUUCCAGGUCUCAGAGGGACUGGUCUCUACAACCCUGGCAGAGUUCUUAGGCAAUUCGAGAUCAAGCAGGAGACACCCCAAAUCGAGUCUAUGCUUAGAUUCUUCAUGAGUAUGAUGAAGACGAGUCUCCGCUCAAAGACUACAUGGUAAAUGGAUGGAGAAGAAGAGGGUGGAAGGAAGUCUCUUUAUAUAUCGAGUAUGAACCCGAAGUCAGCAACACUUACAUGGAGCGGUUGAAAAAAAAUCUGGCCAACGCAUUGAUUCCGAGGUCGAAUAUACCCACUUGGGUUGUUGAUGUAGAAUCAGAGCAUCAAAUCCGACUCCACAGGCUUUGGGAUGAAUUUCAAAAAAGUGAAAUCACGCACCAGCAAAUGCAUAUGGAGGAUGCUUUAACUAUACAUAUGUUGAGGGAAGAGUUAAAGCGAGUCAGGUAGGAGGCUAAUGAUGCUAGGCAGUGUUUGAUUGAUUUGGAUAAUUGCAUGGUUGCUCAGAUCGGCGACAUAGAAAGAUGAACCUACGAGAACAAGGCGCGAUUGUGUGGGAGUCAUUUGAUCAUCAACAUAUAUCAGAUUUGGCAGGUUGUGAACAAGUCUAAGAAGGCAAAGGCAAGCGAAUGAGCAUCUAGUAGCUAGUUUUUCUAUUCCCCUGCGUGGGACCUUAUUUUCUUUCAUGUUAUUUCCCGUUCCCCUAAAGAUUGUAUCCCUCUUUUGUUAUCUUUUGUAAGCAUUUAUGUCCUUUGACAUAUCUAUGAAAAUUGGGAGGAUAAUGGAUUGGCUUUUAAAAGGCAUAUAUUUUCUUCAAAAUUUGCUAGGCCAACCCUUGGCUCAAAGGGAUAACCCAACUAAGAAGCGCGUAUCAUCUGUUGUGUGUGAUAUAACUGUCUUAUGUGAUAUAACUGUUGUUUAUGUGCUAUGUGUGUUGUUAAAUCAAAGGUAAAUUGAUCUACUCCACAACAGAUCCUUAGAAAACCCUUUAGGCAGAAAAUACACACCUACUAUCUAAGGUCCGUCCAAAAUAUAUCAAGUCCCCAAGUUUCUCAGAAAGUCCUCAACUAUUUUCGUAUUUUUAUUCUUUCAGGAAAAUUUAUCAUGGAUUUAAGGACCACACAGCUGAAAUGACGGAUAGUGGAGUUAGCCAAAAUAGAAGAAAUACAAAAAUAAGAGGUCAAGAGAUUGAUUAGGAGGGCCGAUUAGGUCGAGGAGAAAAUUGCUAAAGUCAAGCAGUUGAUCACACAGGAAAAGAAGAAGUUUAAGCAUGCACCUUCAAACUUAAGAGAGGACCGCUGGGCCAAGAUUAAAAGGGAUGUCGUCUGGCCAACUAGGAUCAGGGCAGGAAAUGAAAAAAUCACCCUCAAAGCUCACUCAAAAGGAUACUCUCGGUACCCCCAGCUCAUGACAUGCUCGACAGUCUAUCAGGUUCAAAGAGAUAUGAUAAUCCUCUACCCUAAUCAAAUAGAAGGAUUUGGCUGCCUUCCCGAAGAUGUUCAUAAGAGAUGUCAUUAUCAUCCAAACCAAUGUGGCCACACCAUUGAUCCAGGCAUGCCCAUCAACGACGAGCAGAUUUACAAAUACGACUUCACAAAGUUUGAAGAUACUUACCAUGAAAUCUACUCAAAACUCAUCCAUGCCAAAAUUUUGGAACCAGUAGAAAGGAAGCCUAAUACGAUGUCUAAGGCUUGGAAAAAAAUUUGAGAGGUUUGCCAUUAUUAUGGAGGGAUCAGCGGGCACGACUUGGAGACAUGCCACGCUUUUAAGAUGGAUUUAGAGAGCCUGGUGGAUACAGAAAGGGUCGAGCUGUAAUUCCCGCCAUACCACC
rnacentral:lncRNA from 1 species